UGCCACCCAGCCGGACCCAUUCUGGUUCCAACUUUCUAUUCACUCUCUAUCUACGGAAACACAGACACAAACACACACGGCUAUACUACUGUUUUUUUUACUCAUCUCCUUCUUUCUUCGCCGGCCAAGCACACAAAUUCUUAGAUCUACUCAUCUCUUUCUCUCUAGGGUUUCAACUUUAAGUUAUUUCUUCUCUCCAUGUAUUUGGAUUCCCGAAUUAGGGUUUCGAAUUCGAGUUCAACGAACAACUAGUUCGAAUCGAAAUCUAUUUACAUUUUCUAAACCCUAGGUCUGCGACCGACCAAUGCAAAACUCAACGAGCUCGGAGGCAAUUCUGGAAUGGCUGCAGAAAGAAAUGGGGUAUCGACCUCUCGGCCACUACGUUGCUUCCAACAAGGCGGCGUCACAACCGUCGAUCGAUUCAAUUCGAAAGGUUUGCCGUGGGAAUAUGAUCCCGGUGUGGAACUUCUUGGUGAAGAGAGUGAAAUCGGACAAGACGGUGGAGAAUCUCCGGCGGAACAUACUUGUUUUUCAUGAUGGUGAUGACGGUGGUGGUGGCGGUGGUGCUGGGGCGGAUUCGUUGAAAGGUGGAGAGGCGGGGAGGAGGGGUAGAGGGAGGAGGAAAGAGAGUUUGAGAGAGAGUUCAGUGGAAAGUAGUAGAGAAAUUGCGUUGCAGGAGAGGGAUUUGGCGAAGAAGGAGGCGGAGAGGUUGAGGCAUAUUGUGAGGCGGCAGCGAAAGGAGUUGAAGGUGCGAAUGUCGGAGGUUUCACGGGAAGAGGCAGAGCGGAAGCGUAUGCUUGAUGAGAGGUCAAAUUACAGGCACAAGCAGGUGAUGUUGGAGGCUUAUGAUCAACAGUGUGAUGAAGCGGCAAAAAUAUUUGCAGAGUAUCAUAAGCGCCUUCGUUACUCUGUUAAUCAAGCAAGGGAUGCUCAAAUGUUGACUGUUGACUCAUCUAUUGAAGUUGUCAACACCUACAGUGCAAAUAGUGAAAAAGAGGCUGUUUAUUCAACUGUUAAAGGGACCAAAUCUGCAGAUGAAGUCAUUCUCGUAGAAACAACCAGGGAAAGAAAUAUCCGGAAGGCAUGUGAAUCUCUUACAAUGCAAAUGAUUGAAAAGAUUCGAAGCUCAUUUCCGGCUUAUGAAGGAAGUGGCAUCCAUUUGAACCCUCAAUUGGAAGCUGCCAAGUUAGGCUUUGAUUUUGAUGGGGAUAUAUCGGAUGAGGUUAGAGACAUAAUUCUUCAUUGCCUGAAGAGUCCUCCUCAAUUGCUUCAGGCUAUUACUGCAUACACUCAACGGAUGAAAACACUGAUCACUAGAGAAAUAGAGAAAAUUGAUGUUAGAGCUGAUGCAGAAACCUUAAGGUACAAGUACGAGAAUAACAGAGUCAUGGAUGCUUCUCCGGAUGCAAGCUCACCGUUACAAUAUCAACUUUAUGGUAAUGGAAAGAUUGGAAUGGAUGUGCCUUCGACGGGAACUCAAAAUCAACUUCUUGAAAGACAGAAAGCACAUGUUCAGCAAUUUGUGGCUACUGAAGAUGCACUCAACAAAGCUGCAGAAGCUAGGAAUAUGUGUCAAAAACUUCUGCAACGUCUGCAUAGAGGUGGUGAUGCUAUAUUUUCACAAUCACUUCUUGUUGGAAGCACAUCACAAAAUGUGGGCAGUCUCAGACAAUUUGAGUUGGAGGUUUGGGCCAAGGAAAGAGAAGCUGCUGGAUUGAGGGCUAGCUUGAAUACAUUGAUGUUUGAAGUACCACGCUUGAAUAAAUUAUGUGCAGAGAGGAAGGAAGCUGAAGAUUCUUUGAGAAAGAAGUGGAAAAAGAUUGAAGAAUUUGAUGGCCGCAGAUCUGAACUUGAAUCCAUAAAUAAUGCUCUACUUAAGGCUAACAUGGAUGCUGCUGUGUUCUGGAGCCAACAGCCAUUAGCUGCAAGGGCGUAUGCAUCAAGCACCAUUAUCCCAGCAUGCACAGUUGUUGUGGAGUUAUCAAAUGGUGCAAAAGAUUUUAUUGAUAAAGAAGUGUCGUCCUUUUAUCGGAGUCCUGAUAAUAGUCUCUACAUGCUUCCAUCAACCCCACAGGUUUUCAAUCAGGCGCUAUUGGAAUCUAUGGGUGCUAAUAGAUCUUCAGGACCUGAAGCAGUUGCUGCCGCUGAAAAGAAUGCUGUUCUAUUGACUGCAAGAGCUGGUGCUAGAGAUCCGUCUUCAAUUCCUUCCAUUUGCCGUAUUUCUGCUGCCUUUCAAUAUCCUGCUGGUUUGGAAAGUUCAGAUGCUGGUUUAGCAUCAGUAUUAGAGUCCCUAGAAUUUUGUUUGAAGCAUCGUGGUUCUGAGGCUUGUGUGUUGGAGGACUUGGCAAAGGCCAUCAAUUUGGUCCAUAUACGGCAGGAUCUUGUUGAAAGUGGUCAUGCAUUGUUAAAUCAUGCUUACCAUGCACAACAAGAAUAUGAAAGGAUGUCAUCGGAAAGCCAUCAAACGACCGGCAUUAGCUUCGACACAUGAGAAGCCUUUCGCAUGGAAGGUAGGAAGGCCUGUACGUCAAUCCCUACUAGCCGUCGACAAUGUGAAUUUGUCGCUGAAGAGAUGAUCAUUAGGGAGAUACGAAAAGUGGAGAUGGACUACUCUUACUAUAUGAAGGAGCAAAAGAGAUCUGUUGUUUGAUGCCGUCUGCAGUACCUGAGUCGCGCAGCAAAGAGCGCAAUCCGCACGGGCAUACGCUGAGUCUUGGCAGAUGAAGCACCACACCGACAUCCGGUGCAAAUUGAGAGAGGCAAAUCUCAUUACCAUGAGCCAAUAGAGGUGGAGCAACAAUCGGUGCAGCCAGGAACAACCCGAGCAUUUCCAAUCGAAGUUUCAUCUGAACAUGUUCUCCCUUCACCGAUGUAUACACCCCGCUCUCCUGGCCAAGCAACCGACUCGGCAGAUGAGGAUCCUGAAGAAGAUUUUGAUUGGUGUAGGGAUGGGAGUUAAUCUAAGGGUAGUAAUCUAGGCUUUUGUAAGAUCCACUUAUAGUAGGGACCCUUAAAGAUAUAUGUAGUGACUUUGUGACUAUGAUGUGUGUAGUACCUUCUGAAUGAAACUCUGAUCUGGAAACCUUUUGUACUAAUGCCUAUUAUAAAUAUAUGAAGUGAUGAUUUGAUCUA